AUGCCAGGUUGCGAGACCAGGUGCGGCGACAUGAUCGUACCGUAUCCGUUCGGCAUGGGCCCGUCUUACUGCUACCUGCCGGGCUUCAACCUCACUUGCGACUGGUUAAGCGACCCACCGCGGCUCCUCCUAGGCAACGGCACGCUCCAGGUCGCCGAAGACAUCGGCUACCCCAGCGAUGCCACGCUAGCCGUCGUGCACGCCGGCAACAUCCAGACCGACGGCAACGGGCUCGGCAGGCUAGGCGGUGGCUUCAGCGAUGGUGGGCCGUACGCUCUGCCGCCGGCCGGGAACAAAGCUCGUCCUCGUGGGCUGCAACGUGCGGGCCACGCUGAGGAGCGGCAAUCUUACCCUGAGCAGCUGCUCCUCCUUCUGCCACGACGGGCGCACGUCGUACAUGAAGUCUGGUAAGAGGAGCAUGCUCUGCUCCGGCAUGGGCUGCUGCCAUGCGCCCAUCGUCGUCAACCGCGAGGUGGCCGCCGGAGGAAAGCUCGCCCCCAUCACGUCCUACGACGUGGAGAUCGAGUCCUUUGGGCGGAACCGCAGCGACGGCCAGCGGUGGCCUGCACGCGUCUUCGUCGCCAAGAAAGGCUGGUUCACGAGCGCCUCUAAACAACUAAGGAGUGUCCUAGGGACGCGGCAGGCAGAAUCUGCAAGAGCAACCACACGCGCUGCACCAGAGGUGACAGAGGCGGCUACUUGUGCUUCUGCAAGCAAGGUUACCAGGGCAAUGCCUACAUCACCAACGGAUGCGUGAGUGUGCCAUACCCAUUCGGCAUUGGCUCGCACAAGUGCUAUCUGCCAGUGUUCAACCUCACCUGUGACACAAGCUACAACCCCGCACGACUGAUGCUCGGCACUCUUCAAGUUGUUGACAUCUCCCUCCACAACAGCACCGUGUGAGUCAUCAACAACAACCGAGUGCAUGGCAUCUAUGGCGGGGUAGCUAGUGUUAAUGUUAUCGAUUUUGGGAUUAGCCAUGGAGACACUAGGCCCUUCUCGUUAUCAAUUCGCAAUGAGCUUAUUGUCAUUGGUUGCGGGGUGCAGGCAGGGUUGUCCCGUGCUGGCAAUAACCGGGCCAUCCUUAGUAGUUGUUCCUCCUUCUGCUCCUCAAACAAGAGUAGAGCCUAUGAUGCAAGGUCAUCUCCCAAUAUCGAUGACAACGGUGAGUACUGCUACGGCAAUGGAUGCUGCCAGGCCCGGAUCACCAUGUCUAGGGACGGCAUGCCUAGUGAAUUCUGAAUUGAUUGGAUGGACUCCAAUAGUGUAUGGGAUGAGGCAUUGCCGCAUUCAUACUCACUCAUUGCAGAGGAAGGGUGGUUCAACAAGCAUUGGGUCUACUCCCAGCUGUCACGGUCACUGUCAACAAAAUAUCUCGCUCCUAGGUUGGAGGUUCAAAUUGUUCUAGACUGGGAAAUAUUGCAGUUGCAACCUAUUAACUCACAUGCGCCAGCCAAUGUGAGUUGGCAUCACCAGUAUGCCGUGUGUCCCAGCAUCUGUAGGAGCAAGAAUAGCCUCUGCAAACCAAGGAUCAGAGGUUAUUCAUGCCAUUGUAGUGACGGUUACGACGGCAACCCUUACACCACGGAUGGAUGCAAAGGCAGUCGCCCCAAACAGUUUAAAGGUACGAGCGCCGUUGUAGGAGCUGUUGUUGCUGCAGCUGGAGUCGUACUUCUGUUUCUGCUUGGGUUGUUGAUUCUGAAGAAACUAAAAUACGAGAGGGCUAAAAUGUUAAAGCGCAAGUUCUUCCAACAAAAUCACGGACAAUUAUUGCAACAGCUUGUAUCCCAAAGUGGUGGUAUUGCAAAAAGGAUGAUCAUAACCUUGGAAGAGCUAGAGAAGGAAACACAUUGUUUUGAUAAUGAUCUCGUCGUUGGAGGUGGGGGACAUGGUAUUGUUUACAAAGGGAUUUUAUCGAACCAACAUAUUGUAGCCAUCAAAAAACCCAAAAACAUGGUGCGGAUGGAGAUCAAUGAGUUUAUCAAUGAGGUAGCUAUCCUAUCACAAAUCAACCAUAGAAAUGUUGUUAAACUAUAUGGUUGUUGCCUUGAAACUGAAGUCCCAAUGUUGGUCUAUGAGUUCAUAUCUAAUGGAACCCUUUACGAGCAUCUUCAUGUAGAAGGACCAAAAUCAUUGUCUUGGGAUAACAGGUUGCGGAUAGCCAUUGAGGCAGCAAAAUCCCUAGCAUAUCUUCACUCGGCUGCUUCAACCCCUAUAAUCGAUAGGGAUGUCAAGAGUGCUAACAUAUUGUUGGAUGAUACUCUGACAGCAAAGGUAGCAGAUUUUGGAGCUUCAAAGUACAUUCUGAUGGAUAUAUCUGGGGUUACCACAAGGGCGCAAGGUACGAGAGGAUAUUGGGAUCCUAUGUACUUUUACACAGGCCGAUUAACUGAGAAAAGUGAUGUUUACAGCUUUGGAGUUGUCCUUGUGGAACUGCUAACCAAAAAGAAACCAUUUUCAUAUUUGUCCUCAAAUGACGAGAGCCUUGUUGCACAUUUUGUUACCUUGUUUGAAGGAGCGGCACUAUUCCAGAUCUUAGAUCCGCAAGUUAUGGAGGAAGGUGGCAAAGAGGUCGAAAAAGUUGCUAGUAUUGCGGUUGCAUGUGUAAAGUUAACUAGAGAGGAUCGUCCGACCAUGAGGCAAGUGGAGUUAACACUAGAAGGCACACGUGUGUCUAGGGAGGGCACUUCAGAUAAUGCAUCUCCAUCCACAGGAGUAAAUUGCACAAAACCACCACUUUGA
rnacentral:rRNA from 1 species